rnacentral:rRNA from 1 species
AUUGAACGCUGGCGGCGUGCCUAAUACAUGCAAGUAGGACGCAGUUGCGAACGGGUGAGUAACGCGUAGGUAACUGCCUCUUAGAGGGGGAUAACUAUUGGAAACGAUAGCUAAUACCGCAUACUAGUAGAUGGACCUGCGUUGUAUUAGCUAGUAGGUAGGGUAAUGGCCUACCUAGGCGACGAUACAUAGCCGAACUGAGAGGGUGAUUGGCCACAACGGGAAUGAGACACGGCCCAGACUACGACGGGAGGCAGCAGUAGGGAAUUUUCGGGAAUGGGGGGAAACCUGACCGGGCAACGCCGCGGGAGUGAAGAAGGUUUUCGGAUCGUAAAGCUCUGUUGUUAAGGAAGCGGUACUUAACCAGAAAGGGACGGCUAACUACGUGCCAGCAGCCGCGGUAAUAC